CACGGCCUGUGGUAUACAUAUCCGACUUGAUGGUGGGCGUUACAAGGUCAGCGGGGGUCCGGGAUGUAACCGUUGCCGCUCCAGCUCCAGCCCCAGCUCCAGCUACAGUUCCUGUUCCUGUUCCUGUAGUUGCAGUUCCUGGGACAGAAACCAUGUUUCCUAGCCAAAUGUUUUUGUGCGGAAUUAGCUGGAUGGAGCUGUAUCUAACCCGAUGUGAGGGGGAUUAAGGUAUAUAUGAAUGAGCUGCGUACCUGCGCCUCCGCGGCCGGUGGAUAUUCGUUUUUGGUCAGUCAUUUUGUUCGGGAUCGGUCUUUUAGCGGUAGAUCCUGGAGAUAUUAGCACAGGACAGGACGACGGCAACGGUAUUUCAUCAGGGUGGAGCGGGGCAGGGUGAGGCCCUGGUGGAAAAUGCUGCGUAACAAGGUUUGGCACAUGCAAGAAAAAACAUUUCGUGAAAACAUCACAUCACAUGUACUAUAUGAAGGCAUGCUGGGAGUAAGUAGGAGCAAUGGAGGCGGGGGAAAGGCAUCUGUCGUUUGUCUUAUCUUCCCUCGGAUGAAAAUAGGAUGUAC
rnacentral:sRNA from 1 species